rnacentral:rRNA from 1 species
UACGUAGGCAGCGAGCGUUGUUCGGAGUUACUGGGCGUAAAGAGUGCGUAGGCGGUUUUCUAAGUUUGGUGUGAAAUCUCCCGGCUUAACUGGGGAACUGCGUCUGAGACUGGAUGGCUUGAGUGCAGGAGAGGAACGCGGAAUUCCAGGUGUAGCGGUGAAAUGCGUAGAUAUCUGGAGGAACACCGGUGGCGAAGGCGGCGUUCUGGACUGCAACUGACACUGAGGAACGAAAGCCAGGGGAGCAAACGGG